UACGGGGGGGGCAAGCGUUGUUCGGAAUUACUGGGCGUAAAGGGCUCGUAGGCGGCCAACUAAGUCAGACGUGAAAUCCCCAGGCUCAACCUGGGAACUGCGUCUGAUACUGGAUGGCUUGAAUCCGGGAGAGGGAUGCAGAAUUCCAGGUGUAGCGGUGAAAUGCGUAGAUAUCUGGAGGAACACCAACGGCGAAAGCACUCUGCUGGGCCGAAAAACUGACACUGAUAGACGAAAGCUAGGGGAGCAAAUGGG
rnacentral:rRNA from 1 species